AUUACAGCUGUUCAUCCUGCAGCCUUCAAAGAUCUCCCCAGGGAGUGUGGAGGGGACGCCAUUACUGACGCUGUUGAAGGACCCGUACAUCCUCAUUAGUGCAGGUUCUCUGUGUUUUGCCAACAUGGGUGUGGCCAUCCUGGAGCCGACCCUGCCUAUCUGGAUGAUGCAGACCAUGUGCU